rfam:Nicotiana attenuata strain TT chromosome 7, whole genome shotgun sequence.
UGGACAGAUUAUUGUAUUCGACUGUAUUCACGGUGUGAAAUAGGGGAUUACACUGUUUUUUAAACGGAAAGUGAAUCAAUUAACAUAAUAUACUCCU